rnacentral:tRNA from 1 species
GCCUUCGAGGUGUAGCGGUCAGCACGCUCGACGAGUAACCAAGAGGUCCGUGGUUCGAUUCCCGGCGAAGGCG